rnacentral:snRNA from 1 species
AUACUUACCUUGUCCAGCACUCGCCGCGCUCAAGAAUGCGGUAGUGCAAGAAGGAGGACCUGCAUUGCACAUCGCGGAGUCGGCCUUUUUCGAUUGUCCUUCAUGGGCCGUCGGGGGCGCAAUUUUUGAUUUUCUUCAUCUUUUCAUCGUGUUGG